rnacentral:lncRNA from 10 species
CUGGACAAGAGAAGUAGAAAUUCGCCUGCCCAUUGACGUUGCAGCUAUAAACACAGAAGAGUAGUGUAUAAAAGCAGCAACAAGAGUGAGAGCAUCUUAAUAAUGCCUCGCAGAAGUUUAUGGGGCUGCCCUCUUUGAGACACAUGGUCAGUUGCCUUAGUUUUCUCGACAUUCCAUGCUUAUCUAUCAACUUCCCAGAAGUAUAAUAUUUUAAGUAGAAAUAGUUCAGUCCUGGUGAGCUAUUCUGGGAGAAAGAGGACAAGCUGCUUGUUCUCAGUGCAAUGCACCCUCUUGCUUCUCUGUCGUGGCCCCAUGGUCGUCUAGGUGUGGGAACGAGGGAAAUAAGAAAGGGUUACAUUUUGCUUACUGAACACCAGCAAGAUAAACACUUCCAAGGCCUCGCUUCUGUUAUUUGUUGCUGUCAGCAGCCUUCUGAGAUGGCACACCAUGAUACCUGCUCCCUCAUCUUCACGCCUUGCUUAAUCACAUCCUGUUGAGAGUGGGCUGGAAAGAGCAAGUGGCUUCUGAGGAAUGGAGCACUGCCAAGUGUUGGGAUGACGCUACUGAGACUAAGCCACAAAGACUCUAACUUUAUGGUCUUCUUUCUCUUUCUGGGCCUCCUCACCUGUUUUCAUGAAGGAAGUUGUGAGCUGCCCCAUGGAGAGGCCUAUAUGACAGAGAACUGGUCAACAGCCAACAAAGAAUGGAGGGCCUCCGUGCAGCAGCCCAUGAGGAUCUGAAUCCCACCAAUCACCUUGCAAGGGAGCUUGGAAAAGGAUCCACCUAGGCUUGACACGACUGAUGUCCCGGCUGACUACAGGCUCAUAAGAGGGCUCAGCUAAGCAAUGCCAAAAUUCCUCACCCACAGAAACUGUGAGGUAAUACAUAUAAUGUUUCUCACCAUUAUAUUUUGAGAUGUUUUGUUACAUGGCAAUAGGCACCUACAGUAGUCCCCCUCUUGUCCGUGAGAGAGAUGUUCCAAGAUCCGGAGUGGAUGCCUGAAACCAAGGAUAGUACUGAACCCUAUAUACACUGCUUUUUCUUAUACCUACAUACAUUACAUAUGUAUGAUAAAGUUUAAUUUAUAAAUAAGGCACAGUAAGAGAUGAACAACAAUAACUAAUACUAAAAUUAAACAAUUAUAAUAGUAUCUUGUGAAGUUAAGUGAUAUCGCCUUCUUUCUCUCAAAAUAUCUUAUUGUACUGUACUCACCUGAUAUGGUUAGGCUUUGUGUCCCCACCCAAAUCUCAUCUUGAAUUGUAAUCCCCAUAAUCCCCACGUGUCAAGGGAGAGACCAGGUGGAGGUAAUUGAAUCAUGGGGGUGGUUUCCCUCAUGCUGUUCUCGUGAUAGUGAGUUCUCACGAGAUCAGACGGUUUUAUAAGGGACUAUUCCCACUUCACUCAGCACUUCUCCUUCCUGCAGCCUUGUGAAGAAGGUGCCUUGCUUCCCUUUCACCUUCCACCAUGAUUGUAAGUUUCCUGAGGCCUCCCCAGCCAUGUGAAACUGUGAGUCAAUUAAACCUCUUUCCUUUAUAAAUUACCCAGUCUUGGCAGUUCUUUAUAGCAGUAUGAAAAUGGACUAAUACAUCACCCUUCUUCUUGUGAUGGUGUGAGAUGAUAAUAUGCCUGCCUCAUGAGAUGAAACGAGGUGAAUGACAUAGGCAUUGUGGCACA